rnacentral:misc_RNA from 1 species
GUCGACAGCUGAGUUAGCAAAGGGAGGCAGAGAGAAGGUCGACAGCUGAGUUAGCAAAGAUUGGCUGCCACAGGAUUCUCAUAUGUGAAGACCUCAUUCAUUAGGACAUUCAAGGCAGUUAUAGCACUGAAUGGCUGCCAUAGGGUUCUCGUAUCUAGCCAUUAUUGAGCAGAAUUGAACACUUGUGAGAAGGAACUGAAACUUCA